rnacentral:tRNA from 1 species
AAGAAAAUAUAAAUUAAGCUUCUAACUUAAUAAUAUGAAUAAAAUCAUUUUUCUUU